rnacentral:rRNA from 1 species
GACGAACGCUGGCGGCGUGCUUAACACAUGCAAGUCGAGCGGUAAGGCUCCUUCGGGAGUACACGAGCGGCGAACGGGUGAGUAACACGUGAGCAAUCUGCCCUUCUCAUCGGAAUAACCAUUGGAAACGAUGGCUAAUGCCGAAUACGACUUCCUUUCGCAUGUCAGGAAGUGGAAAGCUCCGGCGGAGAAGGAUGCAGCUCGCGGCCUAUCAGCUUGUUGGUGAGGUAAUGGUUCACCAAGGCGACGACGAGUAGCCGGCCUGAGAGGGUGACCGGCCACACUGGGACUGAGAAACGGCCCAGACGCCUACGGGAGGCAGCAGUGGGGAAUAUUGGACAAUGGGCGAAAGCCUGAUCCAGCAACGCCGCGUGAGGGAUGACGGCCUUCGGGUUGUAAACCUCUUUCAGCAGGGGCGAAGCGAAAGUGACGGUACCUGCAGAAGAAGGACCGGCCAACUACGUGCCAGCCGCCGCCGUAA